AACACACCUGGAGAGGAGAGGGCGAGGAAGGGGUGAGCACGUUGCAGGCUGCUCUCCUCUGCCAGUCUGAAGAUGAACACUACUGCUUGGCACAGGCCUCAAGAAGAAUGGUGGGAGUUCAUAACUGAACUAUGGUCUGUCUGCUUGGAAGGGUAAAGUGCAAGAGCAAACCAAGAUACUCUCUUGCCUCCACAAUCCCGCCUGGUCUCCACUGGUCCCAAAACACUCAUUUGCUUUUUUGAAACCUGAACUAACUUAUCACAGUUACUGUAGCUCCCUAUUUAACAGCUGUGUUGUAAAGCUUAUGAA